rnacentral:rRNA from 1 species
UACUGAGGGUGCGAGCGUUAAUCGGAAUUACUGGGCGUAAAGCGAGUGUAGGCGGUUGCCUAAGUCGGAUGUGAAAGCCCCGGGCUUAACCUGGGAAUUGCAUUCGAUACUGGGUGGCUAGAGUUUGGUAGAGGUAAGUGGAAUUCCGGGUGUAGCGGUGAAAUGCGUAGAUAUCCGGAGGAACAUCAGUGGCGAAGGCGGCUUACUGGACCAAAACUGACGCUGAGGCUCGAAAGCGUGGGUAGCAAACAGG